rnacentral:misc_RNA from 1 species
UCAAACUUGGUCAUUUAGAGGAAGUAAAAGUCGUAACAAGGUUUCCGUAGGUGAACCAGCGGAGGGAUCAUUACCGAGUUUACAACUCCCAAACCCAAUGUGAACGUUACCAAACUGUUGCCUCGGCGGGAUCUCUGCCCCGGGCGCGUCGCAGCCCCGGACCAAGGCGCCCGCCGGAGGAAAAAACAACCAAAACUCUUUUUGUAUACCCCAUCGCGGGUUUUCUUUACCUCUGAGAACUUCUCGGCGCCCCUUAGCGGGCGUUUCGAAAAUGAAUCAAAACUUUCAACAACGGAUCUCUUGGUUCUGGCAUCGAUGAAGAACGCAGC